rnacentral:rRNA from 1 species
GCGAACGCUGGCGGCAGGCCUCACCCAUGCCAGUCGAACGAACCUUUCGGGGUUAGUGGCGGACGGGUGAGUAACACGUGGGAACGUGCCUUUAGGUUCGGAAUAACUCAGGGAAACUUGUGCUAAUACCGAAUGUGCCCUUCGGGGGAAAGAUUUAUCGCCUUUAGAGCGGCCCGCGUCUGAUUAGCUAGUUGGUUGAGGUAAUGGCUCACCAAGGCGACGAUCAGUAGCUGGUCUGAGAGGAUGAUCAGCCACAUUGGGACUGAGACACGGCCCAAACUCCUACGGGAGGCAGCAGUGGGGAAUCUUGCGCAAUGGGCGAAAGCCUGACGCAGCCAUGCCGCGUGAAUGAUGAAGGUCUUAGGAUUGUAAAAUUCUUUCACCGGGGACGAUAAUGACGGUACCCGGAGAAGAAGCCCCGGCUAACUUCGUG